rnacentral:rRNA from 1 species
UACAGAGGUCUCAAGCGUUGUUCGGAUUCAUUGGGCGUAAAGCGUGUGUAGGCGGUCCACUAAGUCGGGUGUGAAAGCCCUGGGCUCAACCCAGGAAGUGCACUCGAAACUGGCGGGCUAGAGUAUCGGAGAGGUUGGUGGAAUUCUCGGUGUAGAGGUGAAAUUCGUAGAUAUCGAGAGGAACACCGGUGGCGAAGGCGGCCAACUGGACGAAUACUGACGCUGAGACACGAAAGCGUGGGGAGCAAACAGG